rnacentral:misc_RNA from 1 species
UCCGAGUUGACCCCGGCAGUCUCCCAUGAGUCCCCGCCAUUACGCGCUGGCAACAUGGAACGAGGGUUGCGCUCGUUGCGGGACUUAACCCAACAUCUCCCGACACGAGCUGACGACAACCAUGCACCACCUGUCACCACUGUCCCCGAAGGGAAAGACAUGUCUCCAUGCCGGUCAGUGGGAUGUCAAGACCUGGUAAGGUUCUUCGCGUUGCUUCGAAUUAAACCACAUGCUCCACCGCUUGUGCGGGGCCCCGUCAAUUCCUUUGAGUUUUAGCCUUGCGGCCGUACUCCCCAGGCGGGGUGCUUAAUGCGUUAGCUUCGGCACGGACGGGGUCGAUGUCCGCCCACACCUAGCACCCAACGUUUACGGCUAGGACUAC